rnacentral:rRNA from 1 species
UGUUUGAUGUUCUAACGUGGACCCGUGAUCCGGGUUGCGGACAGUGUCUGGUGGGUAGUUUGACUGGGGCGGUCUCCUCCUAAAGAGUAACGGAGGAGCACGAAGGUUGGCUAAUCCUGGUCGGACAUCAGGAGGUUAGUGCAAUGGCAUAAGCCAGCUUGACUGCGAGCGUGACGGCGCGAGCAGGUGCGAAAGCAGGUCAUAGUGAUCCGGUGGUUCUGAAUGGAAGGGCCAUCGCUCAACGGAUAAAAGGUACUCCGGGGAUAACAGGCUGAUACCGCCCAAGAGUUCAUAUCGACGGCGGUGUUUGGCACCUCGAUGUCGGCUCAUCACAUCCUGGGGCUGAAGUAGGUCCCAAGGGUAUGGCUGUUCGCCAUUUAAAGUGGUACGCGAGCUGGGUUUAGAACGUCGUGAGACAGUUCGGUCCCUAUCUGCCGUGGGCGCUGGAGAACUGAGGGGGGCUGCUCCUAGU